rnacentral:tRNA from 1 species
GGGCCCGUAGCUCAAUUGGUAGAGCGCCGCUUUUGCAAGGCGGAGGUCGAGGGUUCGAUUCCCUUCGGGUCCACCA